GUCGACCAUCAAUCGACUAGGUUGAGCAAACUUAAGCGGCACACAUUACCUUCCUUUUACUGUUGAAAGCAUUCGCUAUCUCAACAGGAAAAUGUAAACCUCAAAUGGCGUAUCACGGAAGUGAUACAUCGCAAGCAUCGAGACGGGUUACUUGUUGAACCCGUCAACCGAUACUCACUGAGUAUAAUCGGUGCUUGAGAAUACUCUGUGCUUGGGCGAUGCACUCAUGCAUCGCAUGAGAUCAUGCCUAAGCACAGUGACCAAAUUUUUUGGUCAAGUUUUUAAGAGCUGCUGGUGGAUGCCUUGGC
rnacentral:misc_RNA from 1 species